rnacentral:rRNA from 1 species
UACGUAGGGUGCGAGCGUUGUCCGGAUUUACUGGGCGUAAAGAGCUCGUAGGCGGUUUGUCACGUCGUCUGUGAAAACCCGAGGCUUAACCUCGGGCCUGCAGGCGAUACGGGCAGACUUGAGUACUGUAGGGGAGACUGGAAUUCCUGGUGUAGCGGUGAAAUGCGCAGAUAUCAGGAGGAACACCGGUGGCGAAGGCGGAUCUCUGGUCCAUUACUGACGCUGAGGAGCGAAAGCGUGGGGAGCGAACAGG